rnacentral:rRNA from 1 species
AGUAGGGGCGACCGAACAGGGGUUAGGGCAAACUGAACCCGCUGGAGAAAUCCAGUGGGGAUGUAGUGUUGCAGGACCUCGCCAUUAUCGCCUCUCUGGUGAAGCCGAACGUGGCUGGAAAGCCAGGCCAUAGAGGGUGAUAGCCCCGUAGGCGUAAGCCAGAAGGUGAGGCGGGGUAUCCUGAGUAGCAUGGGUCGGAAAUCCCGUGUGAAGCCGGGAGGCAACGACUUCCAACCCUAAAUACUCCCCAAGACCGAUAGCGCACUAGUACCGUGAGGGAAAGCUGAAAAGUACCGCUGGCGCGGAGUGAAAAGUGCCUGAAACCAGACGGCGACAGACGUGUGCGGCUCUUAAGGGUAGAUUCUCCUCGAAGGAACUCUUGGCAACAAGAUAGUACGAGAGGAGAGGACCGGAGUCGCACAAUCCGUCUAGAAACACGGGCCAGGGAGUUCACCUGAGUGGCGAGCUUAAGGGGUUCACCCCCGAAAGCGUAGGGAAACCGACAUGCCCGCAACCGUGUAUGCGGUGAGGGGCGGGGUCUGAAAGGGCCUGGAGUCACUCGGGUGAAACCCGAAACCGGGCGAUCUAGCCCUGGGUAGGGUGAAGUCUGGCGAAAGCCGGAUGGAGGCCCGCAGGAGUGCUGACGUACAAUUCGUUUCCAUGACCUGGGGCUAGGGGCAAAAGACCAAUCUAGCCCGGAGAUAGCUGGUUCCCCCCGAAGUGGGUCUUAGCCCAGCCCGACUCGAGGUGGCCGGAGGGGUAGAGCACCGAUUGGGUAUGCGGGGGGCCCACGUGCUUCCGGUAUCCUCUCGAACUCCGAAUACUCCGGCACCGUAGACAGUCGGAGACGGGUGUCAGGGGAUAAGCCUCUGAACCGAGAGGGGAACAACCCAGACCGGGGUUAAGGCCCCUAAGUGCUGGCUAAGUGUCAAACGAAAAGGAGUCCGCAACCUAAGACAGCAGGGAGGUAGGCUUAGAAGCAGCCAUCCUCUAAGGAGUGCGUAAAAGCUCACCUGCCGAGGUUGCGGGCCCUGAAAAUGGACGGGGCUCAAGCCAGCCGCCGAGACCCCGGGGCACGGCCGUUAUGGUCCGUGAUCCGGUAGGGGGGCGUCCCGAUGGGGCGGAAGCUGGUCCGUGAGGUCCAGUGGACCCGUCGGGAUUGCAGAUCCUGGUGGUAGUAACAGCAGAGCCGGGUGAGAAUCCCGGCCGCCGAAGGGGCAAGGGUUCCUCGGCAAUGCGUCGUCAGCCGAGGGUAAGUCGAUCCUAAGGUCACCCUUAACAAGGUGUGGCCGAAAGGGAAACCGGUUUAUAUUCCGGUACCGCGAUGGUACGCUUCGCGGCGACGCAAAGCUCGGCUCUUGACGCUUCGGGGUAGGCUGAGCAAGGUUAUCGCCUUGUCUAAGUGUAUAAGCCUGGGGAGUACCGUAAUGGUGAGAACCAGGUGAAAGCACGAAUGGCCGCCCGUUUUAGGGUGGUUCAGCCGAGCCCUGGAGCCCUUGAAAAGAGAGCCGAGAAGGAUCCAUCGCGAUCGUACCCAGAACCGACACAGGUGCCCCUGGGUGAGCAGCCUAAGGCGUGUCGGGUCGAAACCGGCCGAGGGAAAUCGGCAAAUUAGCCCCGUAACCUCGGGAUAAGGGGUGCCUGUGGUCUUGGGUUAUCCUGGGACCGCAGGUCGCAGUGACUAGGGGGGCCCGACUGUUUAAUAAAAACAUAGCUUUCCGCUAGCCCGAAAGGGUUAGUACGGAAAGUGAAUCCUGGCCAGUGGCAGUACGUGAAACCCGGGUCCAACCGGGCGAAGCGCUGCUAAACGCCGGGAGUAACUAUGACUCUCUUAAGGUAGCCAAAUGCCUCGUCGGGUAAAUUCCGACGCGCAUGAAUGGAACAACGAGGUCCCCACUGUCCCCGGCCGGUGCCCGGUGAACCCACAUAACCAGGCGAACAGUCCUGGGACCCCCAGCGGGGAGAGAAGACCCUGUGGAGCUUUACUGCAGCCUGUUGCUGAGGCCUGGUUGCGGAUGCGUAGCGUAGGCAGGAGCCGUCGAAGCCACCCUUGCGGGGGUGGUGGAGGCGCCAAUGAAACACUGCCCUUUCGCGACUGGACCUCUAACCGGGGGUUUACCCCGGGACAACGGCAGGUGGGCAGUUUGGCUGGGGCGGCACAUCCUUGAAAAGAUAUCAAGGGUGCCCAAAGGUCAGCUCAGGCGGGACAGAAAUCCGCCGUAGAGGGCAAGGCUAAAAGCUGGCCUGACUGGACACCGAAAAGCGAGGUGUCCAGAGGCGAAAGCCGGGCCUAGCGAUCCUUCAUGUCCCUCUCGUUGAGGGCUGGAGGUGUCAGAAAAGUUACCCCAGGGAUAACAGAGUUGUCGCGGGCAAGAGUCCACAUCGACCCCGCGGCUUGCUACCUCGAUGUCGGCUCUUCCCAUCCUGGCGGUGCAUAAGCCGCCAAGGGUAGGGCUGUACGCCCGAUAAUGGGGAACGUGAGCUGGGUUUACACCGUCGCGAGACAGGUGGUAUUCUACCUGCUGGGGGCGCUGGCCGUCUGAGGGCAA